AAAACUUUGUGUUGUCAAGACCUCUGUUACAAGACUCUGCCCCAAGAUUCUUCAAAAAAUGUCAAAGCCACACUUAGCUCCUUGGAAACGAGAGUCCCUAACAAAGGAUUUGCUAGUGAUUGCUGGCAGAAGCAAGCUUUGUGACGUCAGUGAGAACUCACAGGUGCUGCUCCUCCAGCUGGGGCCUGACGGCAGAGUUCAUCGAGCUAGCGUCUUACUUGAGUGACCCAGCCAUGGCGCUCCACUUCUUUGAGCCUCAGUUGACUCUAGAAAGUGUCUCCAAGGCCCCUGUGUGGCUUAGUGUGGGCCUUAGAUAGUCAUAUCUUCUGGCUGGACUCAAAAUGUCUAAGGUAAGAUAGAGAGAUUUAGAAAGGAAAGAAAAAGCAACUCUUUUCCAGAUAAAGGAAUAAAAGAAGAAGGAAGGAGGGAAGGCAGGCAGGCGGGCAGGCGGGCAGAGAGAAAGAGAGAAAGAGAGAAAGAGAGAUGAAAGAAAGAAAGAAGGAAAGAAAGGAAGGAAGGAAGAAAGAAAGAAGAGGAAAGAAAGAAAGAAAAAGAGAGACGAAAGAAAGAAAGAAAGAAGGAAAGACAGAAAGGAAGGAAGGAAGGAAGAAAAAAAGAAAGAAAGAGAAAGAGAAAAUUGUUUAUUUACAGACUCCCUAGGGCUCCACAUGGUAUCCAUUUCCCCAGCACUCAUCUUCCUGGGGAGGGAAGCGUGCCCCAUGGAACAGCUCACCUCUCCCACCCUUGUUCUCACCUGAGCUUUCUCAUUCUUGUUUGGCAGGGGCUCCUGAGGAUGCAUCUCCUGUAACUGGACUUCAAAGAACUAAUAAUCCAAGGCAAGACAAACAGGUGGGCGUGGAGGAGGAAAAGCAGUCAAUGAGGAGCCAGACAGAAGCCUGGAGUGUUGCACUCAUGGCCGUUCCUCCUGAUAGGAACCGGAGGCUUUUGAAGGCUGCAACACCAGAGAAGAGAAGGGAGUCCAGAACUGACCUGGGAGUGUGGAGAUCCAGAUUUAGAACUCAGCUCAGCUCCUCAUGAAGUGUGAUCAUGGGAAGAUCCUUUACCCUCAAUUCGUCUAAGGUUUCCCCAUCCUAGAAAUGGUUCUCACUGCCCCCUAUUCUUUUCUUUCACAACACUUAUCUCAAUUGUCAUCAUCUCAGGUCUGAUUCCUGCUCUAGGGUUGGUGGGUAAGGGCACAGAUGGGCUCUGGAGCUACCCUGCCUGGCUUCCAGCCCUGGCUCCACCACUUGCUAACUUAUUAAAGUUAUUUAGUCGC
rnacentral:lncRNA from 1 species